UAGGGAAUCUUCCACAAUGGACGCAAGUCUGAUGGAGCAACGCCGCGUGAGUGAAGAAGGCUUUCGGGUCGUAAAACUCUGUUAUUGAAGAAGAACGUGCGUGACAGUAACUGGUCAUGCAGUGACGGUAUUCAAUCAGAAAGUCACGGCUAACUACGUGCCAGCAGCCGCGGUAAUACGUAGGUGGCAAGCGUUGUCCGGAUUUAUUGGGCGUAAAGCGAGUGCAGGCGGUCUUUUAAGUCUGAUGUGAAAGCCUUCGGCUUAACCGAAGAAGGGCAUCGGAAACUGGGAGACUUGAGUGCAGAAGAGGAGAGUGGAACUCCAUGUGUAGCGGUGAAAUGCGUAGAUAUAUGGAAGAACACCAGUGGCGAAGGCGGCUCUCUGGUCUGCAACUGACGCUGAGGCUCGAAAGCGUGGGUAGCAAACAGGAUUAGAUACCCUGGUAGU
rnacentral:rRNA from 1 species